GCUGGGCAUGGUGUCGCAUGCCUAUAAUCUCAGCGGCUGGGGAGGCUGAGGCAGGAGGAUCACAGGCUCAGCAAUUUAGCGAGUCCCUAAGUAACUCAGUGAGAACUUGUCUCUA
rnacentral:sRNA from 1 species